AUGCCAUCAUGGUGGGGGAAGUCUUCCUCCAAAGAUGCAAAGAAAACCACCAAAGAGAACCUCAUGGAUACAUUUCAUCGGUUUAUAAGUCCAAAUGAGCAAAAAGGAAGCACAAAAUCAAAACGGAGGUAUAGACGUGGCGAUGAUACAACUGUUGAAAAGGUCUGCCAGUCUACCACAGUAUCGCGCGCAACUUCACCCUCAAAAGAAGUUUCUCGCUGUCAAAGCUUUUCAGCUGAUAGGCUACAUCCCCAACCACUUCCUGUUCCUGGAUCAUGUCCUGCAGUGACACGUACUGCUUCUGAUGUCACUGAAUCAAGGCCCAUAUUAGAAAAACGUGGCAAACCACCACUGCUUCUGCCACUUCCUAAACCUAACAGGCCUCAGAGAAGGUCAGAAAUAGUGACUGCUUCCCUCUCUAGCAACUGCUCUGUUGAUAGUGAUGACCAUGGAGAUUCUCAGCUUCCGAGCCCUGUUGGAAAUGAUGCUGAAAACACAACAAAUACUACUUCCAAGAGCAAGUCAAGUAAUGUGCGCAAAGAGCGUCCUGGUGCUAUCACCACCAAGAAUACCAAGGAGAUGGCAAAGACAGCUAAUCAAUUCCUCAGUAACCAUACAUUGUCCACAUCACCGAGAGGUAUUGCAGCUGACAAUCACCAACCUAAUCCACAAAAUCCUCGGCCGGUAGUCUUGGAGAGUGCUCCGAAUAGUUUGAUGUCAAGUCCUUCUAGAAGUCCGAGAAGAAUAUGUCCGGACCAUAUUCCAACUUCAGCCUUUUGGGCAGUGAAGCCUCAUACAGAUGUUACUUUCCUUGGCUCUGGUCAGUGCUCCAGUCCAGGUUCAGGGCAAACAUCUGGCCAUAACUCUGUGGGUGGUGAUAUGCUAGCCCAGCUUUUCUGGCAGCCCAGCAGAGGUAGUCCAGAGUGUUCACCGAUUCCUAGCCCAAGAAUGACAAGUCCUGGCCCUAGUUCCAGGGUGCACAGUGGAAGUGUUUCUCCAUUGCAUCCGAGGUCUGGAGGGAUGGCACCUGAAUCUCCGACAGGUCGGAAUGAUGGUGGGAAGAAGAAGCAAACCCACAGAUUGCCUCUUCCACCACUGAGCAUCUCUAAUAGUUCAUUUUUUCCAAACAAGUCCACGCCAGCUAGUCCUAUUUCAGCGCCUCGUAGUCCUGGCCGAACAGAGAAUCCACCAAGUCCUGGAUCACGAUGGAAGAAGGGGAAGCUGAUUGGUCGUGGGACAUUUGGCCAUGUAUAUGUUGGCUUUAACAGUGAUAGCGGUGAAAUGUGUGCUAUGAAAGAGGUGACCCUAUUCUCGGAUGAUCCUAAAUCAAAGGAAAGUGCAAAGCAGUUGGGGCAGGAAAUAUCGCUCUUGAGCCGCUUACAACACCCAAAUAUCGUACGAUACUAUGGCACAGAAACGGUUGAUGACAAACUGUAUAUAUACUUGGAGUUUGUGUCUGGUGGAUCUAUCCAUAAACUUCUACAAGAGUAUGGACAGCUUGGUGAACCAGCAAUACGCAGCUACACUCAGCAGAUACUCUCAGGCUUAGCUUAUUUGCAUGCGAAGAAUACAGUCCAUAGGGAUAUCAAAGGUGCAAACAUACUAGUAGAUCCUAGCGGUCGUGUUAAGCUUGCAGACUUUGGAAUGGCUAAACAUAUCAAUGGGCAGCAAUGUCCUUUCUCAUUUAAGGGUAGUCCAUAUUGGAUGGCUCCAGAGGUUAUAAAGAGUUCGAAUGGUGGUUGCAAUCUUGCGGUUGACAUAUGGAGUUUAGGAUGCACUGUCCUGGAGAUGGCUACCGCAAAACCCCCAUGGAGCCAGUACGAAGGGAUUGCUGCAAUGUUCAAGAUUGGAAAUAGCAAGGAACUUCCACCAAUACCAGAUCACCUAUCAGAGCAGUGCAAGGACUUCAUCAGAAAGUGUCUGCAACGUGAUCCUUCUCAACGGCCGACAGCAAUGGAGCUUUUGCAACACCCGUUCAUACAAUAUAAAGUCCGACUUGAGAAAUCCGUUAUGUCUGAUCCUUUGGAACAUUUGCCCGUGAUAUCUUGUAGACCGAAUUCUAAGGUGGCUGGACAUACAACAAAUAUCUCGUCAUUGGGAUUGGAGGGUCAGACAAUUUACCAGAGAAGGGGUGCAAAAUAUUCUUCGAAGCAUAGCGAUAUCCAUAUACGGAGCAAUAUAUCCUGUCCAGUUUCUCCAUGUGGAAGUCCUCUGCUAAGGUCAAGGUCUCCCCAACAUACAAAUGGCCGAAUGUCGCCAUCUCCAAUUUCAAGCCCCAGAACCCUUUCAGGCGCUUCUACUCCCCUGUCUGGUGGCAAUGGUGCUAUUCCCUUUAAUCAUUCAAAGCAACCAACCUACAGCAAUGAAGGAUUUGCAAUCGCAUCAAGAGGCCCAGAUGAUCACUUCCCCAACCGGCCUACAGACCGUAACCUUGGGCAGUUUGGUCGAGUGCAUCAAGUCUCACAGGGGGUUCAGGAGAGGAUAGUAUCUGAAGCUAACAUUCUGAGUCCUCAAUUUGGAAAGAGGCUUGGAAACGUUUUUGAUUUGCGUGAUAGACUGUCCCCUUCUGAACAUUUCACUCGUCCUGCCUUGGUGGAUCAUGUGAAGCCAAAUCCUUCACUAGACUUAACAACUGGUUCUCCCCACCAUGGACUCAAGCGUGAUAACUAA
rnacentral:rRNA from 1 species